AGAGUUUGAUCCUGGCUCAGGAUGAACGCUGGCGGCGUGCUUAACACAUGCAAGUCGAACGAAGCACUUUAUUUGAUUUCCUUCGGGACUGAUUAUUUUGUGACUGAGUGGCGGACGGGUGAGUAACGCGUGGGUAACCUGCCUUGUACAGGGGGAUAACAGUUGGAAACGGCUGCUAAUACCGCAUAAGCGCACAGCAUCGCAUGAUGCAGUGUGAAAAACUCCAGUGGUAUAAGAUGGACCCGCGUUGGAUUAGCUAGUUGGUGAGGUAACGGCCCACCAAGGCGACGAUCCAUAGCCGACCUGAGAGGGUGACCGGCCACAUUGGGACUGAGACACGGCCCAAACUCCUACGGGAGGCAGCAGUGGGGAAUAUUGCACAAUGGGCGAAAGCCUGAUGCAGCGACGCCGCGUGAGCGAAGAAGUAUUUCGGUAUGUAAAGCUCUAUCAGCAGGGAAGAUAAUGACGGUACCUGACUAAGAAGCACCGGCUAAAUACGUGCCAGCAGCCGCGGUAAUACGUAUGGUGCAAGCGUUAUCCGGAUUUACUGGGUGUAAAGGGAGCGCAGGCGGUGCGGCAAGUCUGAUGUGAAAGCCCGGGGCUCAACCCCGGUACUGCAUUGGAAACUGUCGUACUAGAGUGUCGGAGGGGUAAGCGGAAUUCCUAGUGUAGCGGUGAAAUGCGUAGAUAUUAGGAGGAACACCAGUGGCGAAGNCGGCUUACUGGACGAUAACUGACGCUGAGGCUCGAAAGCGUGGGGAGCAAACAGGAUUAGAUACCCUGGUAGU
rnacentral:rRNA from 1 species